AACGCGAAGAACCUUACCUGGGUUUGACAUUUAGGGAAAAGCCGUAGAGAUACGGUGUCCUUCGGGGUCCUAAACAGGUGGUGCAUGGCUGUCGUCAGCUCGUGUCGUGAGAUGUUGGGUUAAGUCCCGCAACGAGCGCAACCCUUAUUCUAUGUUGCCAGCGCGUAAUGGCGGGGACUCGUAGGAGACUGCCGGGGUCAACUCGGAGGAAGGUGGGGACGACGUCAAGUCAUCAUGCCCCUUAUAUCCAGGGCUGCACACAUGCUACAAUGGCUGGUACAACGGGUCGCUAAUCCGCGAGGAGGAGCUAAUCCCCAAAGCCAGUCUCAGUUCGGAUCGCAGUCUGCAACUCGACUGCGUGAAGUCGGAGUCGCUAGUAAUCCCGGAUCAGCAACGCCGGGGUGAAUACGUUCCCGGGCCUUGUACACACCGGUACUA
rnacentral:rRNA from 1 species